CAAGUUAUACUUUAAGAUAAGAUUUUCAUUUACAUUGAGGAUAAUUGUUGUGCAAUUCAGCAUAGCUUGA
rnacentral:tRNA from 1 species